UACGUAGGGUGCGAGCGUUAAUCGGAAUUACUGGGCGUAAAGCGUGCGCAGGCGGUUUUGUAAGCCGGAUGUGAAAUCCCCGGGCUUAACCUGGGAAUGGCAUUCGGGACUGCAAGGCUGGAGUGCGGCAGAGGAGACUGGAAUUCCUGGUGUAGCAGUGAAAUGCGUAGAUAUCAGGAGGAACACCGAUGGCGAAGGCAGGUCUCUGGGCUGACACUGGCGCUCAUGCACGAAAGCGUGGGGAGCAAACAGG
rnacentral:rRNA from 1 species